rnacentral:rRNA from 1 species
AUGAACGCUGGCGGCGUGGAUGAGGCAUGCAAGUCAAACGGGCCCAGCACUUAUCGCAAGAUUAGUGCUGGGUCAGUGGCAGACGAGGUAGUAACACGUAGGUACCUACUCCCAAGUCGAGAAUAAUCCAUCGAAAGACGGACUAAUACUCGAUAAAAUCUCUGGAUUAAAGGAGCAAUUCGCUUGGGAAAGGGCCUGCGGAGUAUCAGCUAGUUGGUAGGGUAAUGGCCUACCAAGGCAAUGACGCUUAGGGGACCUGAGAGGGUGACCCCCACCGAUGGAACUGAGACACGGUCCAUACACCUACGGGUGGCAGUAGCCGAGAAUAUUCGACAAUGGGCGAAAGCCUGAUCGAGCGACGCCGCGUGAUGGAUGAAGUCCUUAGGGACGUAAACAUCUUUUAUAGAGGAGAAAGUACCAACAUUUAUGUUGGUAUUGAUAGUACUCUACGAAUAAGGGGUUGCUAAACUCGU